rnacentral:lncRNA from 1 species
AGUGGGUAACUUAUUCCCAUGAUCAACUUAAAACAAACAUAAAAGGACUCAGGAAAACCAUCUGUCAGAGAAGCACAUAAACUUUCAAGCAAUGGUUUAAAACAUCUAUUGAUUGCGCAAUGGAUGAUUUGUAAUUACAGAAUACGCAUUUGGUAAAUAGGUCUUUGUGGCCCUUUGAACUCUUUUUAUUGGGUUAACAGAUAAUUAGGGUCUGUUGUGUAGAUGCUCCAUAAUUGCUCCUUUGGAGCAGUUAAAGUUUGCGGAAUGGAUCCCCAACUCUGCUAUUUCUUUGUUGCAUCCCUCCAGCUCCUAAUAGAGCUAGUGAGAAGAGCUGGGAGAGGCUCACCCUGGUAUUUAGGAGGCAGCUGUUUUGCAUUCAAGGUAGAUCUCAGAAGCAGCAACCUGGGUGGCAGGGAGGGCAGGAGAGAGAGUUGGUUCUAUAAUCCCAGAGGCUGUCCCAGCUGCCCCCGCCAGCCAGCCUUGGGCAUAGUGUAAAUUGCUGCUGCUUUCUCACCAUGUGUGGACCACCAACCUGAGCUGUGUGAGCCUCAGCACUUUCUUCUCUGGAGACUAACCUAUGAAAAAGCAAGGGCUAUGGAUCAAGUAUUCUUUGAAGUGCCCUGUUCACUUCAUGGUUCUGUAGAGAAUUAGAAAACUUCCAGGAGUUUCCAAGAAUGCUGAUAUCCAGUUCACCACUUUACCCACUGGCUUGGCUGCAACCCUCCAGGGCAUCUUAUCACUGUUUUAUUGGAGUUGGAACGCGGCUGGAAUUGGAGUACAAAUUUCCUUCAGCAAGGAAAUGCUGGAGAAACAAGAGCAAGUUAACCUCCAAAUGGGUUCCAAGGCAACCGCUGUGUUGAAAUUUCACUUGGGUUCCCCUGGCUCUUUUUUACCUGCCUCUGCCAAAUUGUUGAUGCCCUCGCCUGUUGGAAAUGGAUGACUUUGAACAACGAGGGGCAAGGAGCCUCUCUUUUACUUCAGAACUACUACAGCAAGAAUUCAAACUCUUUGUUUUUGAGAAAAUAGCUCCUAAUGCUGUGUUGAUUUUACCGUGUGCUUCAGAAAAAGACCCUUAAGGCUAAUUGAUAUGAACAUAUAGAGGCAGUCUGAGCUUACCAGAAUUUAUAUUACCUGAUGUGUUAAGAAUCAGGAAGCUAUUUAUGCUAGCCUAUAGCAGCAACCCUUUGUAUUUAGUGUGUUUGUGUGUACACACAUACCUGUGUAAAUCAAAAUGAAAGCUUGCUUUUGUGAUCUAGCACAAGUUUUGCCAUAUCAUAUAUACAUUUUUAACUUUUGGAAGGUAGAAGACAAUUGAUAGGCAUUUAACAUGAAGAAAACAUGCAUUUAUAGUCAAUAUUAAUAGAAUAGAUGGUACUAAUCUAUAACAGUGAAAAAUAAAGAAGGUAGAGGAAGGAGGACAAAGACAGAGAGGAGACAGGGGGGAAAGGAGAAGACAGAAAAAAGAAAACCUCAAAACAAGGACUGCUCUGAGAGCCACAACUGAGUUUUAUGCUUCUUGCUGUCAUCUUUCUCUAACCUUAAAGGGCAGAAAGCAAUUGGGAGAACUAACCUGCACUUAGAUUUCAGCUUCCAUAGGAUGUUACAUUCUCAGGGUCUAUUAAAUCGAUUGGACUUUGACCUUAGCUUCCACGAAGUCCUUACCUUUUGAUUGGGGCUGAGAGGUCUGAUUUAACCUCAUGGAAUUUGUAUUUUUUGGAGGAACUCCUGCCUCGUCCGUACAUGGUGAAACCCCCAACAGCAGCAUUUUUAAUUUCCAGAUUCUCAGCAGACACAAUGCACAGACUGUAGAAAACACCUGCUCAUCCGGACCGCUCAGCUCACAGGCUCCUUCCUCAGGGGAGCAUCUGAUGCUCCAGGCAAGGCAGACCCUCUUCUUAUACUCUUGUGACCUCUUAGACUUUUCUUUUGUAGCACUUACUCCAGACUCUAAUCAUAUUUAUGUUGUGAUUGUUUAUGCAAUGGUUUUCUUCCUAACUAGGCUCUGAGUUCCAUGAGAGUUGCAAUGUCUGCAUCCCUUACCCUUGUUGAUAUACUGCACUGUGCCCGGUACCUAAGUAAUUGCUCAAUAAAUAUUUGUUAAAUGAAUGAUUAUAAUAGUAUGCAUAUAUGCAUAUAUAGUAUGAUAAUAUAUAUAAAUAUGUGUAAAACAGUAUAUAUACACAUGCUAUAUUAAUAGCACAUCAUGUAAUAUUGUAUGUCUACACACACAUACAUUCAGUAUUUACUCAGUUUUUCUGUAUAAGUACCGCGCGCUAACCGAUUGCGCCACUGGAGCUCUAGUAUUUACUCAGUUUUUCUGAGGCUUAUUUACUCAUUGGUGAAGUGAAAGUGAAUGUAAGGCUCUUUGCAAACCCCAAAGUGCUAGACCAGUAGGAAAGAUCAGAAUAGCCUUUCAUAUUAAACACUAUGAAGCCAGGAGCUGUGGCUCCCAACUGCAAUCCCAGCACUUUAGGAGGCUGAAGUGGAAGGAUCACUUUAGCCCAAGAGUUUGAGACCAGCCAGGGCAACACAGGGAGAUACCAUCUCUACAAAAAAAAAUUUUUUUAAUUAGCCAGGCAUGUGGUGCUUGCCUGUGGUCAAGUAGCCUCAGCUACUCUGGAGGCUGACGCAUGAGGAACACUUGAGCCCAGGAGGUUGAGGCUGCAGUGAGCUGUGAUUGUGCCACUGCACUCCAGUCUGGGUGACACAGUGAGACCUUGUCUUCAACGAACAAACAAACAAGCAAAAAACACUAUGGUAGAGACCCCAGUAAAUGCCUUCCAUGCUUAUAAAAUACAUUUAAGUAUCUCUCAAUCAAGUUUUCAGUAUUCUCAAGUCAGUCUUUCAUUCUAAAUUUAGAGUCAUUUCCAAAUAUAGUGCAUUUCCUGUCCCAUUCCUUCCCUGAAAGACAGCCGUGUCCAACUAGAAGUGGGCCUGACGCCUCUUAUUAGCCCGGUUGCAUUUCUGUCUCGCUCUUGGCUGCAGUGUGUGAGCUGAUGGGCCCCACGUGACUGUGUUCACGUCCAAGCUUAGUAGAAUGAAUUUUUCCAGCAUGAUUUGCAAGUCACGCUAUCACAUGCCUCCUGAGUCCAGCUGUGCCGCAGCUGCCGCCUCCCCUGCAUCCGCUCAUCUUGCACUUGGAUCAAAAGCACGAGCACAUUUGCCUGAACCGAUCUGGUCUCGGCCCAGCUGUUUGUUCCCCAUUGUCAUCAGGAUGUUUACAGACCUGCUGUUCUUGCUGUACUUGUUUCAUGAUCACACUUGGGUCUGCAGAGCAUUUUAACACAUGGCUGUGGCCGAAGCUGGCAAUUUGACUAGCUUUUCUUGGUCACUGAGACUUCUCUAAGGCAUUUCCUUCAAACCUUCCUAACUAUGUGUAUGCUUGCACAUUUCCACA